GCUUUAUGUUAUGCAUAAUUUAUUCUUUAAUAAUGAGUUUUUUUUCGAGUUGGAUGGAUGUAGUCUGGACGGAUCAUGUAGCUCCAGCACCUUUUCUGGCAACAAAGGCCCCCGCCAAAGCGAACCAAAAAAGUAGACACUUGGAUGGCAGAGAUCGACAGAGAGCGAUUCGAAGAGCAGAAGGACCUUCACAGUAGAGUUGUGUUGCUCAUGAGAUAUUUUGCGAUCUGGCAGCUGUUGCUCAUAUUUGCGUUUACUUCACACUUUUUGUAUUACCGGCAAAGCUGUUUACUCUUUCAAAAAUUCAGUAUGUCGCUAAUUCGAAUGUAUAGUGAAAUUUGGAAUGAUCUGUGCAUGAAUAGUGAACAACUGAGUGAGCAAGUCAGCAACUGAGCAAGUGAGCAACUGAGCAAUCUAAGAGCGCAAGUGAUCAAUUUGAGUGAGUUGACUCACAUACUAAAAAAGAACAAGUGAACAUGUUCACCAAAACGAGCAAUGUUUACCCAACACUACUUCGCAGGAAGAAGGAAGAACAUGAUAUGAGCCAGGAAAAGAUAGCCUCAUCCACACGCAAAAAAAAUUCCAGAAUGAUUUAUUAGAAGUGCUGAGAAAUAUAAAUAAAUAAGUUUAUAAUUUGCA